GGAAACAUUCUAAAAUGCACCCAAUAUAUUCUUAACAUGACAUUUUCAAUCAAUAAAAUUAUUUUUUAAAAUUAAUAUAUCUCAUCAUGAUUAAUAAAAAAUAUUUUUAUUAUAUAUUUUUUUAAUAAAAUAAUAUUAUUAACGUAUUAUUAAUAAUGCGGUGUAAAUGUGAUAAAUUUUCUCCAACUUAGAGAACUUAUCCAGACAGAAAGGUAAUUCAAAUUCAAAUAUUAAUGAUAAAAUAAAAGGAGAAGAAUAAAACUUACCAUUCGGUGAUGCCAGGUGUCCUUGACAGAAUCUUUAGCGUGUCCCCGAAACUGCCACGUCAUCCGGAUAAAGAUUCGCCCUCUUUCCACCCGUCAAAAUACAAAAUAAAAAAUACGAAGGGACCAAAUCUUUCCAAAUCCAUCUUGGAAAUAUACCAAAACUAUCCAAAUUUUUUCCGACAAAAUUCUUAUUUUCUUACCUCAAGAAGGGACAAAAUCCUCAUCUUGAUUUCGGUGUGUAUAUAGAAGAAUGUAUACUCAUGAAGUUGGAACCUUGAAAAAUUCUUCUAAUUACUUCUUCCUCCUCUCUCCCUCAUGCACUGAAAUUCACCUCUCUUUACACCAAGUUUUACAUUUCUUUUGUAUUGUUUGCUGGAUCUCUAAGAGCUACUUGAGUUCGUGUUGCACCACCCUGAAGACGUGCUGACGGGGUGGAAGGUGGUCGUUGUAUCGAUAAGAGUGAUUGCCAAAGCCUCGCACGUGGAGUAGCAAUCUCGCUUCUAGGACAGUACUUUCGCACACCUCAACACGCAGGCCUUAUCUAAACCUUUUUUCUCUAUAAUAUUUUUCACUUAAUCUAUCCUUAUAAUUUCUUACAAUUUUUGAAAACAAAAGUUAAAAAUAUUUUCUUUUAUAAUUGUUUAAAAAGUAAAUUGUUCAAGCUAAAUAUAUGUUUGCAUAUUACAUAAUUACAUACUUUGUUGUUAAUCCAAAUUACUUAUAUAUAUAUAAAAUUAUGCUACUAUACUAUCAAUAGUACCGAGUCGUUGGUACUAUUGAGUUUUCGGCCGUUGGAUGAAAGGAUGUGCGGUUAGGAUGAUAGUGGUCUCCUAGGGUUGAUUGGGUGGUUGGUUUAAUAGUAUAAUCUAACGGAUUGAAAUGAUCAAAUGGUAGAUCUAACGGUAGAAAACUCAAUAGUACAAAGGGCUUGCUACUAUCGAUAGUAUAGUAGCCGGACAAUAUAUAUAUAUAUAUAUAUAUAUAUAUAUAGAAUGCUACUAUACUAUCUAUAGUACCGAGCUCGCGGUACUAUAGUGUUUGUUUUCGAUCUUAGAGCGUUCAAAUCAACGAUCCACAUCGUUAGAUAUAAUCUAGGGUAUGUGAAUUUCUUAGGAAUAAAAUUUUAGUUUUUUUCGAUAUCGUUUACUUAGUAAAUAAAUUAUAUCAAAAUGGACGGUGGAGAUUGAAUAAUCUUUAAAUUUGAGCAUAGGACUUUUAAAUUCAAGAUCAAGAAUGUUAACCUUAAUCUAUAUAGUUUAAAGUAUUUUCUAUCAAAAUUUGAAGAAAUUUAGAUUCUUCUACACCGUUAAACUCCAAACUCGUCAUAAUAACCAUUGAAAAUUGACAAUUUUGAAAUAGUUUGUUCAUAAAGUAAACUAUGCCGAAAAAAUAUAAAAUUUUAUUUCUAGAAACUUUAAAUACCCUAGAUCAAUUUUAACGGUGUGGAUCGUUGAUUUGAACGCCCUAAGAUCGAAAAUCAACACUAUAGUACCGGAGCUUGGUGCUAUAGAUAGUAUAGUAGCCUAGCUCUAUAUAUAUAUAUAUAUUAAAGUAAUCAGUAAUCAUUCAAGCUAAAUAUAUGUUUUGCAUAGUUCAUAAUUACAUAUUUUAUUGUCAUUCUGUCUUAUUUUUAUAUGGUAAAUCAUUCUUGACUAUUAUUCUUUUGCCCCCUCUUAUAUACAUAUGUGUUGAUAUUUUAAUUAUAUUAUUUUCCUUUUUUUUCGUAAUUAUUAUUAUUAUUAUUAUUAUUAUUAUUAUUAUUAUUAUUAUGGCUGGGGUUGCUAUACUCUUAUGAGUAUAGAACCCCUUGUACUCAUAAAUUUUUAACCGUUGAUUGAUGGGAUGUGUGGUUAGGAUGAUGGUGGUCCCCACUUAGAAUGAUAGUGGUCCCCUAGGGUUGAGUGGGUAGUUGGUUGAAUUGUAUGAUCUAACGGAUGAAAAUGAUCAUGGAAUAAAUCUAAGGGCCAAAAAUUUAUGAGUAUAAGGGAACCAAUCCUCAUAAAAGUAUAGUAGCCGGACUCUAUUAUUAUUAUAUAUUAGUGUUAAAAUUGUU
rnacentral:lncRNA from 1 species